rnacentral:rRNA from 1 species
AUUGAACGCUGGCGGCAGGCCUAACACAUGCAAGUCGAGCGGAUGAGGGGAGCUUGCUCCCUGAUUUAGCGGCGGACGGGUGAGUAAUGCGUAGGAAGCUGCCCGAUAGAGGGGGAUACCAGUUGGAAACGACUGUUAAUACCGCAUAAUGUCUACGGACCAAAGUGUGGGACCUUCGGGCCACAUGCUAUCGGAUGCGCCUACGUGGGAUUAGCUAGUUGGUGAGGUAAUGGCUCACCAAGGCGACGAUCUCUAGCUGGUUUGAGAGGAUGAUCAGCCACACUGGAACAGAGACACGGUCCAGACUCCGACGGGAGGCAGCAAUGUGGAAUAUUGGACAAUGGGCGCAAGCCUGAGCCAGCCAUGCCGCGUGUGUGAAGAAGGCCUUCGGGUUGUAAAGCACUUUCAGCGAGGAGGAAGGGUGGUGUGUUAAUAGCACAUCAUUUUGACGUUACUCGCAGAAGAAGCACCGGCUAACUCUGUGCCAGCCGCCGCGGUAAAAC